rnacentral:rRNA from 1 species
UAGCUAAUACCGCAUAAUAUUAAUUAUUGCAUGAUAAUUGAUUGAAAGAUGCAAGCGCAUCACUAGUAGAUGGACCUGCGUUGUAUUAGCUAGUUGGUAAGGUAAGAGCUUACCAAGGCGACGAUACAUAGCCGACCUGAGAGGGUGAUCGGCCACACUGGGACUGAGACACGGCCCAGACUCCUACGGGAGGCAGCAGUAGGGAAUCUUCGGCAAUGGACGAAAGUCUGACCGAGCAACGCCGCGUGAGUGAAGAAGGUUUUCGGAUCGUAAAGCUCUGUUGUAAGUCAAGAACGUGUGUGAGAGUGGAAAGUUCACACAGUGACGGUAGCUUACCAGAAAGGGACGGCUAACUACGUGCCAGCAGCCGCGGUAAUACGUAGGUCCCGAGCGUUGUCCGGAUUUAUUGGGCGUAAAGGGAGCGCAGGCGGUCAGGAAAGUCUGGAGUAAAAGGCUAUGGCUCAACCAUAGUGUGCUCUGGAAACUGUCUGACUUGAGUGCAGAAGGGGAGAGUGGAAUUCCAUGUGUAGCGGUGAAAUGCGUAGAUAUAUGGAGGAACACCAGUGGCGAAAGCGGCUCUCUGGUCUGUCACUGACGCUGAGGCUCGAAAGCGUGGGUAGCGAACAGGAUUAGAUACCCUGGUAGUCCACGCCGUAAACGAUGAGUGCUAGGUGUUAGGCCCUUUCCGGGGCUUAGUGCCGGAGCUAACGCAAUAAGCACUCCGCCUGGGGAGUACGACCGCAAGGUUGAAACUCAAAGGAAUUGACGGGGGCCCGCACAAGCGGUGGAGCAUGUGGUUUAAUUCGAAGCAACGCGAAGAACCUUACCAGGUCUUGACAUCCCGAUGCUAUUCUUAGAGAUAGGAAGUUACUUCGGUACAUCGGAGACAGGUGGUGCAUGGUUGUCGUCAGCUCGUGUCGUGAGAUGUUGGGUUAAGUCCCGCAACGAGCGCAACCCUUAUUGUUAGUUGCCAUCAUUAAGUUGGGCACUCUAGCGAGACUGCCGGUAAUAAACCGGAGGAAGGUGGGGAUGACGUCAAAUCAUCAUGCCCCUUAUGACCUGGGCUACACACGUGCUACAAUGGUCGGUACAACGAGUUGCGAGCCGGUGACGGCAAGCUAAUCUCUGAAAGCCGAUCUCAGUUCGGAUUGGAGGCUGCAACUCGCCUCCAUGAAGUCGGAAUCGCUAGUAAUCGCGGAUCAGCACGCCGCGGUGAAUACGUUCCCGGGCCUUGUACACACCGCCCGUCACACCACGAGAGUUUGUAAC